UGCGCCUCGGGCCGCGGGACUGCUGCUGCUGCUGCUGCCGCCGCCGCUGCCGCCGCCGCCGCCGCCACCGCCUCUACGGCCGCGUCAGAACUGAAGAGAGGAAGGGGAGGAGCCCAGGCGAGCCUAAGCUACCGCCUGAUCUUACCCCUGACCCGAGGGCGGCGCGGAGAGCGAGCUCCGUAGCCGUUCCCUCCGGGGCAGGUGCGGACUGCUCCUCUGGGAACGAGGAGGAGGCCCAGGCCCCAGGGCCGGGCUAGGGCGCGCACCACCCGAAGUGGUGUGAGAAUGAGAUUAGAGCAGCAGCAGAGGUGAAGAGAAACGAAUCCCACAGUUGUGUGGCCGGACCCCAGCACCCCAUGCCUCUGGAAGCAUCACUGGUGGGUAUCUUAGCUCUUUCAACCUUGCUUGGGAAGAUUGGACAUUUUAAAUACACUAUCCACAUAUUUGGGAAACACAGGGCUUUGCCACUGCUGCAGCCACCACAUGCAAACAGUAGAUCAAGGAAAUGUCUACUCUGAUAAAUCAAGGGUUCAUUUUUGUUCAAAGGCAGCAAGAAUAAAUAAAUAAAUAAAUAAAUAAAUAAAUAAAUAAAUAAAUAAAUAAGGGGGAGGAGGAUGCCCCAGAAGUAAGGACAGACUCCACCCUGAUGUACUCCACCUGAAAUCCCAGGAGUGGGAUAUCUCACCCUCCUCACACUGGGUUUGACAGUCUACAAGCAUGAUCCAUUCACCUGCCAUGUUCAAGGAAGACUCACAGAGAAUCAAUAGCCAGACAUGGCUGCAACAUAAUCCUUUUUGUUGACCUCUCUUCCUAAUAGCAGAAAUUACAGAUGUGCAAUAUAGGUUUAGGGGAGCUUUGUGAAGCUGGGCCCCUCAGAGUUUAGUUGUGUGGACUUUGAAUGGAGAGAGUCCAGACAUCAGAGCUCUGCCACUGAGAAGGCUUCCAGGAAAGUGUGUGCCAGGCAGAGUGGUCAGAGGCCUGAGCCGUUUCAUUGCCUAGGGUUCCACUUUAGAACCCCGUCGCUGAGGGACAGAGUGGCACUCUUGUGAGCCCUGAGCCACCUACUUAGGAACAGCAGCUCCACUAAGCUUACUGAAUAAGAUCCAUUCUCUUCCCCUCCCAGCCUGGUAACAGGAGAAAACAGCUGUUACACAGCUGGCUGCUGGAGAGGAGGAACUCGUACAUGUCCAACUCGUUCCAUAUCCCUUCAGUUCUGUAUAUUGCCUAUGAAUCAAGAAGAGAAAUACAUCAGAUUUCCAAAAAUGUAAAUCAGGAUCAAAAACUUAUUUCAGGUAACAGGGUUCUUUUCCUGGCUCAUCACUUUAUCAUAAAGAUCUGCAUACGGUGUUAAGAGUGUGACGAAGGGAUGUCCAUAUAGGUUUCAUAACUUUUCCCUUGAAUGAGCUUGUAUGAGAAACUAAUCAAGGUUUUAUUAUCUCAUGCCAGUGGUUUCUACUGGUUUUGUUGUUGUUGUUUUUUACUUUUUCGAGACAGGGUUUCUCCGUGCUGUUUUGGUGCCUGUCCUGGAUCUCACUCUGUAGACCAAGCUGGCCUCAAACUCACAGAGAUCUGCCUGCCUCCGCCUCCCGAGUACUGGAAUUAAAGGCGUGUGCCACCCGCCUGGCUGGUUUCUACUGUUCUAUCAGUUAAGCUUUUUCAUGAAAUAGACUUUAAACAUAGAAGGCAAUUGUGUGCUGUAAUUAUCAAAGAAACUACCCUGUAAGCAGUCAACCAGGCCAGUCAGUGGAGUUUUGCUAACCUUCCAAAAGCCCUCUAAUGACCUUCCUAAACACAACUCUCCCUCUCCCUUGGAAGUUACUAUUAUUCUGACCUUUGUGGUAAUCAUUUCCUUGCUUUUCUUUAUUGUUUUAUCACAGGUGUUCAUCCCUAAGCAUUACAUUGUUUAGUUUUUCCCUUUCUUGUGAAUGGUACAUAAAUGAGAUAACAUGUAAUCUGUUAUGCUUACCAUAUUUGCUCAACUGUGCUGUAAUCCAUAUGUUGUUCAGGUUGUUCAUAUAGCUAUAAUUCGUCCCCUUUAAUUGCUGCAUAUACAGUGUUUCAUUGUAACAGUUUGUUUAGCCAUUUUGUUGUUGAUGGAAGUCUGGGUUCAGUUUGAGGCUGCUAUAAAUGCUGUUGCAAAGAGUUCCUUAAGUCUGUAUUCCCUCUCAUCUACAUCAGUUUCUGUGUAAUCUGUACUUGAGAGUGUAUAUCAUAAAACAUGAAUAAAUAAUG